UAUUUUUAUUUUUAUUUUUAUUUUUAUUUUUAUUUUUAUUUUGUAAUAUUUAGGAUAUUACUCCAAUUAUCUGUUGUCCUCCUGUCAGGAGCUGAGGGACAAUGACUGACCAUCUCCAGCUCUGUAACAACCUUUUACGUGUGGGAUGAUUAUUCUCUUUUGGAAUUUUAGCUUUCUUUUCUAGACUAAACAAGCCAAGACCCAUCUGAAACCCAGAGAUUCAUCUCUUUGUGCAAUCACUGUGAUUUGCAGUGUGUUUCUGCCCUGGUCCCCAGCAGCAUUGCCAUGGCCCAACUUCUUCAGGAGGCUUCCCAGGAGAGGACACAACCUGUGUCUUUGAGCUUCCUGGUGGUUUUGGCUGCUUCUAGUGCUGUUUACAGGGGAGGAAAUGGAGCAGAAUCUGUCCUUCAAGGCUUUUGCUUUGUCUUUGCUCGGUUCAAAAGCCUGUGUAACAUUCCUGGAGCAAGGCAGCCUGGGCUGGUAGUAUGUCUUUCUGAGGGAACAUGCCUGGAUACACUUUUCCUCCCCUUCCUGUAGGGAGAAGGUGGAAAUCUGUUCUCUUUGGGCUUUCCCCACAGGUUUCCUUUCCUCUCAGUAGGUAGGAGCUUAUGUAACUGAUGUGCUGUCACAGGAGGCCAUCUGGGCCAGAUGUCCCACACCUUCUGGGAAAAGGAGGACAGGAGAAGAGCAAAAGGAGCCCCAAAUAUGCUGCAGAAGAGGCCAUCACAAAACGCUGGAGACACAAUGCAGAACAACCACUCCCUCUUCUUCCAAGAGUCAAAGAGAAUGAAAAUAGCAGAAUAUUAAAAUCAGAGAGAAAAAAAUUGGGCAAAGUCAUGUUUGCUUUUCCACAUUGGCAAAAUUACAAGUAACAUUUUAUCUACAGUAAAAAUAGCUAUAUCUAUGAUAAAUACAGCCUUUAAACCAGUUAAAAGAGAGUUUUAACUGGAUCAGACUUGGAUCCUAUGUGUCAGUUGCAGAGCAUCCUGCCUCUCUGCGAGGCCCAGGUAAGAAAACAGAAGCAUGCUUGUCUCCAACUGGAGAUACCAUUUUUUUAGGUCUCCUUGGUUAAGGAGUUGCUGGGGAGCUCCUCAACUUAAGGAGAGCCACCCAGGCUCCCUUCAGUGCUCCCUUGUGGAGACAAAGCCUCUUCUACUGCAAGAGAAGACUAAACAUGGAAACCAAUCUGAGGAGGCUGGAUUCCCCACGUCUGGCUUGGGAAGGAUGAUGGGAGUGGAGACCUUUAAUCAGUGAGGGACUUCCCAGAGUGUGGUGUUGGCAGAUGACAGUAAUGAGAUCAUGCACGAGGCAUCAGCAUCAGAUGACCUGAUCAGUCUCUCUUUGUCCUGGACAUGUGUCUAACCCAGAGCCUCUACCUUGUAAUGCACUGGGCUUGUGGUCUGUUGACAGCACGAGACACACAUGGUCUGUGACAACACUUGGCAAGGCUGAAACAGUGUCCUCUAGCCCUUGCCAUGGUCUGUCUCCCACCUUCUCCAGUGACAGCCAUUGUGAUGUUCAGAGCUGCUGGACUUAGGAAGUUUAGGAGGGGGGCUGCUCCCUGUCUGUUGUCAGCUAUAUGGUGAAGUUUUACUCCUAGCUGCCUGCUUCCCCAGGGAAACAGAUACAUGUGGUUGCAAGGAUGUCACCAUUAUUACCAUGACUCUUCUCAGGAAGCUACAGGGUAAUGCAUUCAUUCCCCUGUUUUGCUGUCCCUGUUGGGUAGAUAUGUCACAGUGCCUUGCAGACUGGCCCUGCCUUAGAUCCUGUAAAUGUGGUGUCAUUGUCAGUGCUGGGAUUUUCAUAUCUUAAUUCCUACAUCUGCAAGUUUCAGAAAAAACUGAGAACAGAAUGGGGAUGAAGACUCCUUUCUAUGUUCUGGUUUUAGAGAUGGGAGAGUGUUUUGUGCAGGGACUGAGAGGGCAGUGAGGAUCCUGCUGCACAGGAACUGCUGGUGCCACGACACCGGAGUGGGAAGAGUGAGUGCCACUGACUCCAACAGCAAUCCUGAGGCUUUGGUAUCAUGUUCAGUCUCUGUUCAGCAUCAAUUACUUGGGACUUGAUGAAACUUAGGCUUAUAACAUGUUUUUUCUUCCACAAUGGUUAAAAAAGCCUCAGAUCUAUAAAUAAACCUGCUUAUUUU
rnacentral:lncRNA from 1 species